GACGAACGCUGGCGGCGUGCUUAACACAUGCAAGUCGAACGCUGAAGCUCCCUGCUUGCAGGGGGUGGAUGAGUGGCGAACGGGUGAGUAACACGUGAGUAACCUGCCCUCCACUUCGGGAUAAGCGCUGGAAACGGUGUCUAAUACCGGAUACGACCCAUCACCGCAUGGUGUGUGGGUGGAAAGAUUUAUCGGUGGUGGAUGGACUCGCGGCCUAUCAGCUUGUUGGUGAGGUAGUGGCUCACCAAGGCGACGACGGGUAGCCGGCCUGAGGAGGGUGACCGGCCACACGUGGGACUGAGACACGGCCCAG
rnacentral:rRNA from 1 species